UCAGGUACGGCGAGUGAGCGGCAAAGCUCAAAUUUGAAAUCCCCCGGGAAUUGUAAUUUGAAGAGAUUUGGGUCCGGCCGGCGGGGGUUAAGUCCACUGGAAAGUGGCGCCACAGAGGGUGACAGCCCCGUGAACCCCUUCAACGCCCUCAUCCCAGAUCUCCAAGAGUCGAGUUGUUUGGGAAUGCAGCUCUAAGUGGGUGGUAAAUUCCAUCUAAAGCUAAAUACCGGCGAGAGACCGAUAGCGAACAAGUACAGUGAUGGAAAGAUGAAAAGCACUUUGAAAAGAGAGUGAAAAAGUACGUGAAAUUGUUGAAAGGGAAGGGCUUGCAAGCAGACACUUAACUGGGCCAGCAUCGGGGCGGCGGGAAACAAAACCACCGGGGAAUGUACCUUUCGAGGAUUAUAACCCCGGUCUCAAUUUCCUUGUUGCCCCGAGGCCUGCAAUCUAAGGAUGCUGGCGUAAUGGUUGCAAGUCGCCCGUCUUGAAACACGGACCAAGGAGUCUAACAAUCAUGCAAGUGUUUGGGCCCAAAACCCAUACGCGCAAUGAAAGUAACCGGAGCGAACCUUCUGGUGCAGCUCCAGCCACACCGAGACCCAAAUCCCGGUGUGAGCAAGCAUGGCUGUUGGGACCCGAAAGAUGGUGAACUAUACCUGGAUAGGGUGAAGCCAGAGGAAACUCUGGUGGAGGCUCGUAGCGGUUCUGACGUGCAAAUCGAUCGUCGAAUCUGGGUAUAGGGGCGAAAGACUAAUCGAACCAUCUAGUAGCUGGUUCCUGCCGAAGUUUCCCUCAGGAUAGCAGAAGCUCGUUACAAACAGUUUUAUGAGGUAAAGCGAAUGAUUAGAGGUCUCGGGGCGAAAUAGCCUUAGCCUAUUCUCAAACUUUAAAUAUGUAAGAAGCCCUCCUUUCUUAACUGAAGGUGGGCAUGAAUGUAGAGCUUUUAGUGGGCCAUUUUUGGUAGAAAAAA
rnacentral:rRNA from 1 species